rnacentral:lncRNA from 1 species
GGAAAACGGGAGGUUUCAAUUCCACAGAGUGAGCAGAGGGCUCUCACGAUGAAUGUAGCCAGACUUCCAUUCUGGGAAUGGGAACUUGAUGCUCCAUAAAGCUUUGUGAAGUGUGGCCACUGCAAAGCUGAGGAGGGAAGCGCAUCACUCCUAAGAGCAGCUGAGAGGUGAGAGGCGUGAGCCUUUGCAGUAGCUUGGCCCAGAAACCUGUAAACGUCCAGCAUAUCGAUCAGAGGAGGCAACUGAAGCAAAACAGUUCAUUUGAGAAUUGCUUUUCCCAGAAGAACCAAUCUCGCGGUGCCUUCGAGAUCAGUUACACACAUCUGCUAGGGUGUACUUAAAACACAAGUUGUGGGGCUCCUUGAAAUCCAUUUUGGAAAUCAUCAUCAUAUAUACAACAGACAGGCCUCACAGAGAUCACCAACACCCGGCAGAACAGCUCCACUGUGGAGAUAUGGGAAAAUGUGAGACAACUGUGCUGUCGACAAAGGAUUUUCAGCACCUGGACUCAUUAUCUGGCUGCCUGCCAUUUUCUUAGUUGGUCUGCUUGCCCAGCGUGCCUACCAGGAG